rnacentral:rRNA from 1 species
UACAGAGGGGGCAAGCGUUGUUCGGAAUUACUGGGCGUAAAGGGCGCGUAGGCGGCCUUCUAAGUCGAACGUGAAAUCCCCGGGCUCAACCCGGGAACUGCGUCCGAUACUGGAAGGCUUGAAUCCGGGAGAGGGAUGCGGAAUUCCAGGUGUAGCGGUGAAAUGCGUAGAUAUCAGGAGGAACACCGGUGGCGAAGGCGGCUACCUGGACAGAAACUGACGCUGAGGCGCGAAAGCUAGGGGAGCAAACAGG